GAUGAACGCUGGCGGCGUGCCUAAUACAUGCAAGUCGAGCGAACAGAUGAGGAGCUUGCUCCUCUGACGUUAGCGGCGGACGGGUGAGUAACACGUGGAUAACCUACCUAUAAGACUGGGAUAACUUCGGGAAACCGGAGCUAAUACCGGAUAAUAUCUUGAACCGCAUGGUUCAAUAGUGAAAGACGGUUUUGCUGUCACUUAUAGAUGGAUCCGCGCCGCAUUAGCUAGUUGGUAAGGUAACGGCUUACCAAGGCAACGAUGCGUAGCCGACCUGAGAGGGUGAUCGGCCACACUGGAACUGAGACACGGUCCAGACUCCUACGGGAGGCAGCAGUAGGGAAUCUUCCGCAAUGGGCGAAAGCCUGACAGAGCAACGCCGCGUGAGUGAUGAAGGUCUUCGGAUCGUAAAACUCUGUUAUUAGGGAAGAACAAAUGUGUAAGUAACUAUGCACGUCUUGACGGUACCUAGUCAGAAAGCCACGGCUAACUACGUG
rnacentral:rRNA from 1 species